AUUGAACGCUGGCGGCAGGCCUAACACAUGCAAGUCGAACGGUAACAGGAAGCAGCUUGCUGAUUCGCUGACGAGUGGCGGACGGGCGAGUAAUGUCUGGGAAACUGCCCGAUGGAGGGGGAUAACUACUGGAAACGGUAGCUAAUACCGCAUAACGUCGCAAGACCAAAGAGGGGGACUUUAGUGGCUCUUGCCUUCGGUUGUGGCCAGAUGGGUUGUGCUAGUGGGUGGGGUAACGGCUCACCUAGGCGGCGAUCCCUAGCUGGGCUGAGAGGAUGACCCGCCACUCUGGGACUGAGACACGGUCCUGGCUCCUACGGGAGGCAGCAGUGGGGAAUAUUGCACGAUGGGCGGAAUCCUGAUGCAGCCAUGCCGGGUGGAUGAAGAAGGCCUGCGGGUUGUAUAGUGCUUUCAGCGGGGAGGAAGGGAGUAAAGUUAAUACCUUUGCUCAUUGACGUUACCCGCAGAAGAAGCACCGGCUAACUCCGUG
rnacentral:rRNA from 1 species